CCUACGGGAGGCAGCAGUGGGGAAUUUUGGACAAUGGGCGCAAGCCUGAUCCAGCAAUGCCGCGUGCAGGAUGAAGGCCUUCGGGUUGUAAACUGCUUUUGUACGGAACGAAACGGUCCUUUCUAAUACAAGGGGCUAAUGACGGUACCGUAAGAAUAAGCACCGGCUAACUACGUGCCAGCAGCCGCGGUAAUACGUAGGGUGCGAGCGUUAAUCGGAAUUACUGGGCGUAAAGCGUGCGCAGGCGGUUAUAUAAGACAGAUGUGAAAUCCCCGGGCUCAACCUGGGACCUGCAUUUGUGACUGUAUAGCUAGAGUGCGGCAGAGGGGGGAUGGAAUUCCGCGUGUAGCAGUGAAAUGCGUAGAUAUGCGGAGGAACACCGAUGGCGAAGGCAAUCCCCUGGGCCUGCACUGACGCUCAUGCACGAAAGCGUGGGGAGCAAACAGGAUUAGAUACCCUGGUAGUCCACGCCCUAAACGAUGUCAACUGGUUNUUGGGUCUUCACUGACUCAGUAACGAAGCUAACGCGUGAAGUUGACCGCCUGGGGUAGGUACGGCGCGUAGUUAGUUAACGUACGAAGAGAGUUAGACGGCGNGAGACGNGCGACGGACGACGACGAGGGAGGAGG
rnacentral:rRNA from 1 species